GACGAACGCUGGCGGCGUGCCUAAUACAUGCAAGUAGAACGCACAGUUUAUACCGUAGCUUGCUACACCAUAGACUGUGAGUUGCGAACGGGUGAGUAACGCGUAGGUAACCUGCCUGGUAGCGGGGGAUAACUAUUGGAAACGAUAGCUAAUACCGCAUAAUAUUAAUUAUUGCAUGAUAAUUAAUUGAAAGGUGCAAUUGCACCACUACCAGAUGGACCUGCGUUGUAUUAGCUAGUAGGUGAGGUAACGGCUCACCUAGGCGACGAUACAUAGCCGACCUGAGAGGGUGAUCGGCCACACUGGGACUGAGACACGGCCCAGACUCCUACGGGAGGCAGCAGUAGGGAAUCUUCGGCAAAUGACGAAAGUCUGACCGAGCAACGCCGCGUGAGUGAAGAAGGUUUUCGGAUCGUAAAGCUCUGUUGUAAGAGAAGAACGGGUGUGAGAGUGGAAAGUUCACACUGUGACGGUAUCUUACCAGAAAGGGACGGCUAACUACGUGC
rnacentral:rRNA from 1 species